rnacentral:rRNA from 1 species
UAUUGUUCUUCAACGAGGAAUCCCUAGUAAGCACAAGUCAUCAGCUUGUGCUGAUUACGUCCCUGCCCUUUGUACACACCGCCCGUCGCUACUACCGAUUGAAUGGCUUAGUGAGACCCUCGGAUUGACGUUCAUCGGCUGUAAAAGGCUCUUGUUUGUUGAAAAGUUGGUCAAACUUGGUCAUUUAGAGGAAGUAAAAGUCGUAACAAGGUUUCCGUAG